rnacentral:rRNA from 2 species
AUGGACGAAAGUCUGACGGAGCAACGCCGCGUGAGUGAUGAAGGUUUUCGGAUCGUAAAGCUCUGUUGUUAGGGAAGAACAAGUACCGUUCGAAUAGGGCGGUACCUUGACGGUACCUAACCAGAAAGCCACGGCUAACUACGUGCCAGCAGCCGCGGUAAUACGUAGGUGGCAAGCGUUGUCCGGAAUUAUUGGGCGUAAAGGGCUCGCAGGCGGUUUCUUAAGUCUGAUGUGAAAGCCCCCGGCUCAACCGGGGAGGGUCAUUGGAAACUGGGGAACUUGAGUGCAGAAGAGGAGAGUGGAAUUCCACGUGUAGCGGUGAAAUGCGUAGAGAUGUGGAGGAACACCAGUGGCGAAGGCGACUCUCUGGUCUGUAACUGACGCUGAGGAGCGAAAGCGUGGGGAGCGAACAGGAUUAGAUACCCUGGUAGUCCACGCCGUAAACGAUGAGUGCUAAGUGUUAGGGGGUUUCCGCCCCUUAGUGCUGCAGCUAACGCAUUAAGCACUCCGCCUGGGGAGUACGGUCGCAAGACUGAAACUCAAAUGAAUUGACGGA